CUACUAAAGCAAACAUGAUUACAGUAGUUGCAUUUCAAUUUAGUGUUUCCCCUGCCCGCUGUUUUUUUCGAGAACGGUAACAUGGCUGGACAGUGAAGUCUUGAGGUUCGUUGAGUAGAUCACUAGACAUCUUAUAGACUACACAAGGAAGGAGCAGGUUUUUUGUUAGGGACCUUCAGUACAGGGAGGGACCAUCCAUUAGAGGGAUGGGUGCAGGUCGCAAGAGAGAGGUAUGGUAGAUGAGAUCGGGAAUUUGGGAGUAAGGUUGAGAGAGGCAGGGGCAGGGUGGAUCACGGUACGGUAGGUCUUUACUGGGUCUUCCUCGACUGGGCCGUAUCCUUCACGUAUCAGGGAGGUCAGUGACACACUGUAGAAGAAAAUAGCAAGCAAAUGGAGAUCACAUGUUCAUGGCAAAUGGAGGAGGAAGCCAUAAACCAUAGUUGGGUGGGAGAAGGGUAUUCAUAUGUUAUGAUAGAGUAUUCGCAUGAGUGUUAUUUCCUGAUUGUUUGCCCUUUGUGUCAUUUUGAACUCAAGUAUGUUUGCUAUGUUCAUCCACCAAAAAUCUGCUUCUUACUAA